rnacentral:misc_RNA from 1 species
CCCGAGUAAAGGAAAUAAUAACUACAGAUACCAACAAUUAAAAUUCAAUUCCAUAUCUUUGGUGCAUCAAACAUGGUAAAGAAAUUGGAUUCAAUACAAGAAAGGGAUAACAGCUUUUCUACCCUUGGGAUAAUCUUCUCCAAACUUGUCCAGAUACCAGUUAUGGUUAGCAAGAGCCCUAGGCAUCAGGUUGGCACACGUGUAGAGAAAAAAACCAAACCCAACCCAGGACCAUGUCAUCACACUCCACCCAAGCCA